rnacentral:lncRNA from 1 species
GGCGGGAAGGAGGGAGCUGGGGCCGCCGGCAGAGGCGUCGCCGCUUGCCCAGGCGCCGGAGCAGCCCCUCAGGUAUAGACGGCGGAGUUCAAGCUGGGGUCAGGCUACUGAAAUCUUCCCGUUUUACCGGGUCCGUUCGUGCUCCGCUCCUUUAGGGUGUUAGCUCUCCUCUCAGUGACGAGUGAUCGAGAUACUAGAGGCUUUUUGUAUAAUUAUUCCCAUCUCUGUAACACCCCAAGGGAAAAAGCAAGCACGAAGCCCUCAUGGAGUUGGGGCCAUAAUCUAGAUCAGGCUUCCCCCCCCACACUUACAGAACAUACUGGAAUCUACAUGGAUUACUCAAGACCUACGUUCAUUGUUCUGGGAUUUGAUCACAGGCUGGUUUCCUCUGGUAAGCUGAACUCAAUUAUUUUGAGAACAAAGCAGCUAUGGCACAAUAUAGGACCUUACAUUACACAUAUAAGAUCCAAGCAAAUGGAGUUAACUACUACUCUGGAUAGUAAAGAGAAGCAUUUUGAAUAA